GGCCAGUUAAGUGAAUGCUUUGCCACAGUCUUAGCAAUGAAAUAAGCUGGGCUGAGGUUCACUUACGCUGGAGGCU
rnacentral:pre_miRNA from 1 species